GGCGCUGUGAGGGGCUGAGGGCGGUCGGCGCCGCGGCUCGCGCCGCUCCCUCAGCGGGGUGCGCUCGCGCCGCCAUCUCCACCGCCGGCAGGAGGGGGCGCUGCCGCCGCGCCGCCGCCUCCCAUUGGCUGGCGGGCGGCGCGCGCAUGCCCGAGCCCGGCGCGUGGCGGCGGCCGUCGGGCGCGGAGGGGAAGGGGCGGAGCCAGGGGUGCAAAUGGCAGCGGGGAGCCUGGCCCGGCCCGGUGGUGGCCAGGAGGAGAUCGCCGCCUAACUCACCCACCCUUGUCACGUGCUGUGGUGUAUUUACACAGAGGAAAAUGGCUCAAACUCUUGCACCAGCAACAUCCAUCCAUGAUGAGGAAUCCUUGGAAAGCAGAAUGGUGGUUACAUUCCUCAUGUCAGGACUUGAGUCAAUGUGUAAAGAACUUUCCAAAUCCAAGGCAGAAAUUGCCUGUAUUGGUGUAUAUGCAAGAAAUGUUUUUGUUAUUGGAACUGAGAGAGGAAAGGCCUUUGUCAACUCUAGGGAAGAUUUUAAGACGGAUUUUAUUGAAUACUGUGUUACAGAAGAGGACAGGCCUCCAGAACUGCAGAAAACAAAGACUACACCACCUGUAAACAGACAGACGGUGGAUGCUGAGGAGCUGGAGGCUCUCAGAAAGUCUGUGGAGGAGUUUUUCUGCUUUUCCUAUGGUAAAGCUUUAGGAAAGUCAACGGCAGUACCUGUGCCAUAUGAAGAGAUUCAGAGGAACCAGUCUGUUGUGAUAGUGCAGGGCCUGCCUGAAGGAGUCACAUUUAAACAUCCAUCAAAUUAUGAUGUUUCCACCCUGAAAUGGAUUUUGGAAAACAAAUCAGAGAUCUCAUUUAGUAUCAACAGGCCUUUCCUAGAACCAAAGAAACAGAUAGAAGCUGAUGUGACAGAUCCUUCACAUUCAGUUAUACCCCCAAGUGAAAGUUGUCCUCCUGUUAAUGUGAAAACGGAACCAAGCAAGGAUUCUGAGACCAACGAGGAUCAUGGAAUUUCUUCCAAAAUGUCAACAGUAACAUUGAAACAGGAAAGAGAUGAUCCUAACUACUAUCAAUUUAAUACUCCAGCAGGCCCUUCCAAAACAUCAGAGAUAGAGGAAAACAUUGCUCCUGGAAAAAUUUACACAGAGACCUCCCAGCCUGACUCAUCAGACACAAGUGAGGAUUCUGAGGCUGAGUUCUGUAACGAAGAUGAUGUUGAUGUUGGUGAUGAUAAUGAGGAUGAUGACGAGUACCUGCCCCCUGAAGGAAGCCUGAGGAGCUCCAGUUCGGCUACUGAAGCUACCAAUACUGGGAGAAGAAAUCCAGAAGAAUUUAAUUUUGAUUCCUCCCACCAUGCCUUGUCAGAAACAGGUGAGAAACCUGAGGUCGAGGUCACCAUUGAAGCAGAUGAUGAUGACUACCCACCACCUGACAAGAGACAGAAGAGCACCAAGUCAGCUAAUGAAGGGGCCAAUACUGGGAGAAGAAAUGCAGAAGAGUCCAAUUCUGAUUCCUCCCAGCAUGACUCGUCAGGAGCAAGUGAGGAUUCUGAGGCUGAAAUCACUAGUCAAGAUGAUGAUGAUGAUGAGUACCUGCCCCCUAGCAAGAGAAAAAGGAGGAGAAACACCAGGUCAGCUAAGGAAACUGGCAAUAGAAGGAGAAGAAAAGCAAAAUAUUUCAACUGCAAUACCUCCCAAAAUGACUUGUCUGAAAGAAGUGAGGAUCCUGAGGUUGAGGUCACUGUUGAAGAUGAUGAGGAUGACUACCUACCACCUGACAAGAGACCGAGGAGCACCAGUUCGCCUAAUGAGGAUGCCAAUGUUGAGAGAAGAAAAGCAGAAGAGUUCAAUUCUGAUACCUCACACCAUGACAUGUCAGAAACAAGUGAGAAUCCUGAGGUUGAGGUCACUGUUGAAGUUUCGAAAUUCAAGGCCGUUCCGGUUCUGCAUGCAAGUUCCGUGGACAAAAAAACAGGGGGUUUUUUAUUGUUUCUUAAAGAUGAUGAUGAAGACUACCUACCACCUGACAAGAGACAGAAGAGCAACAAUUUGGCAAAUGAAUCUGCCGAUGCUGAGAGAAGAAAAGCUGAAGAGUUGAAUUCUGAUACCUCCCUCCUUGACAUGUCAGAAACAAGUGAGAAAGCUGAGGUCGAGGUCACCAUUGAAGAUCGUGACCAUACCUACACAUACCAUGACAGGAGACGGAGGAGCACCAAGUCAGUUAAUGAUGAGUCCAAUCCUCAGAGAAGAAAAGCAGAAGAGUUAAAUUCUGAUUCCUCCCACCAUGACUCAUCAGAAGGAAGUGACGUUUCUGAGGCUGAUCUCACUAGUGAAGAUAAUGACGAUGACUAUGUGCCCCGUGAGAGGAGACAGAGGAGCCCCAAGUCAGCUAACGACGCGGCCAAUGGUGGGAGAAGCAGAGGAAUAAAUUUCAAUUUUGACAAGUGGAAUACGCGAAUUACAGACUUGAGAAGGGAAGUUGAGGUGCUGUUUGAGAAAAAAUAUGCUGAAGCUUUAAAAGUAGAGGGUCCCGUUUCUGUCCCAUACACAACCUUCCACUCCCAUCCAGAAGAUCUGUGUGUGGAAGGGCUGCCCGAUGGGAUUCCCUUCAGGCGUCCAGCCACGUACGGCAUUCCCCGGCUGGAGAGGAUCCUUCUGGCAAAGGAGCGGAUCCGCUUUGUCAUUAAAAAGCCUGAACUUCUGAAUUCAACAGAUGCUCCAGUGGUCAAUACAGUUUCAACAGUCUCAAAUACAGUGAAAGAGGACUGGCAUUCCAGAGUCACCAAACUGAGAAAGAUGGUAGAUCAACUUUUCUGUAAAAUGUAUGCCAAGGCUCUGGGGAGCAAUGACCCCAGAGCUGUUCCAUACAAGAAAUUUGAAGCUCAUCCGACUGACCUCUAUGUUGAAGGGCUGCCAGAGAACGUUCCCUUCAGGAGUCCCUCCUGGUAUGGAAUCCCUUGCCUUGAACAAAUAAUUCAAGUGGGCCACAGAAUAAAAUUUGUGAUCAAAAGGCCAGAGCUGCUAACUCACGCUUCAAAUGAAGGUACUCAGCACAGGUCAAACCCUCAAGCGAGAGAAGACUGGAAUUCCAAGAUCACAAAGCUAAGAAAGCAAGUAGAAGAUAUAUUUAGUGUGAAGUUUGCCGAAGCUCUGGGGCUUUCAGACGUUUCAGACUCAGUGAAAGUUCCCUACUCUGUGUUUGAAUCAAACCCUGACUCCCUGGUGGUGGAAGGUUUGCCAGAAGGAGUUCCCUUCCGGAGCCCCACGUGGUUUGGAAUUCCGCGCCUCGAAAGAAUCAUCCGUGGGAGUUCCAAAAUCAGAUUUGUUAUUAAGAAGCCUGAGCUUAUCAUUUCCCAUUUGCCUCUAAGACUGGCUAGUAGACUAAAGAAAAAAGGAAUUAAUCCAAGGAAUUCCAGAAGGUCACGAAGUUCUUCAGAAAAUUCAAGUGUCCCGGAGAUUGAAGUUACUAUUGAAGACAGUCCUAAAAAAGACCAAACUGCAAAUGCACAAACUAAUUCUCAUACCAAUGGCUCCAGUACAAAUUUGAAGCAACAAGGAAAAGGGUUUUGUUUUGAGCGGUGGAAUGCCAAAAUCUUGGACUUAAAGCAGCAAGUUGAAAAUCUUUUUAAUGAAAAAUGUGGGGAAGCACUGGGAUGCAGAGGGCCAGUGAAGGUGCCAUAUGCACUCUUUGAUUCCUACCCAGAGGAUUUCCACGUGGAAGGACUGCCUGAGGGGGUGCCCUUCCGCCAGCCUACAACUUUUGGGAUUCCCAGACUAGAGAAGAUCCUGAGAAAUAAACCCAAAAUAAAAUUUAUUAUUAAAAAGCCUGAGAUGCUUGAGGCAGCUAUCAAAGAAAGUUCUGAUAAGAGCCCCCAAGGAAAAAAUAAUUCCUCCAGUAAAGCCAAUACAGCAAGGACCACAAAAACCACAGUGAAAACAGCUGAAGGUGUUGAAGACCUAAACAUUGUUAAAGUAACCAUAAAAGAUGAUGAAAAUGAGCGACUGCCAAAAGCAGAAAAUGCCAGACAAUUGAGAGAGCAAGUAAAUGAUCUUUUUAGCCAGAAAUUUGGUGAAGCCACUGGUAUGAAUUUUCCUGUGAAAGUUCCAUACAGAAAAAUCACUAACAACCCUGGCUGUGUGUUGGUGGAUGGAAUGCCUCCAGGUGUGGCAUUUAAAGCACCCAGUUAUCUGGAACUCAGCUCAAUGAGGAAGAUUUUGGAUUCAGCAGAGUUUAUCAAGUUCACUGUCAUUAGACCGUUUCCAGGACUUGUGAUUAACAAUCAGCUGCUAGAAGAAGCUGAAGCAGAAGCACCAGCAGCAGCCACUACCACAGCAGUACUACCAGAUGAUGAGUGAGCUGGAAAGAAGGAUUAAUGGGGGCAAUGUGUAAAGGCAAUUCAGCAUCCAUUUAUUAAUGUCUGCUUAACUCAGUGUGCAUGUCUGCAUGUACAGCCAAGUGAAGUUUGCCUGCAUAGCUGGCAGUGGGGUCUGGGUGGAGUUUCUGCCUGCUGCCAAGCUCUGGAACCCCUGCUAGACUGCACCUGGGACUGCACACACAUCACCUGUCUUAGUCUGAACAGAGAACUUAGCUUUGGGCUGUGAAAUAACUAAAGGAAAUGUGGUUGGGCAACUUCACUUUGAUGCAAUACAGCUUUUACAUGUUCAUAUACCAUUGAAAAAUGUGUAUGCUAAGUUGGUGUAGUGUGGGGAAAACUUCUGCAAUUGAAUGAAUCGUUAGACAAAGAAGCUGGGAAACUAAGAGAAAACAUCUGAUAAAGAUUUUAAGAGCAAGGGACACUUGUAUGGUGAAAAUUAUUAAUAAAGGAAACUGCUGCUUCCUCUGUUUCCAUGUGGAGGUGUGGGAGGGAGGAGAUCAGCUGCUGGAGGUUUGUGAGCUUGCUGUAGUCUGUUGGUCCUUAACAUCUGCAGUGUUAAAAAGGUUAAAUGGUUUCCCCAGAACACGUUCAUCUACAAUCCCUGCAGAGACAGUAGCAAACUCAGCACGGAAUUGAAGCAUACUUCUUGUCCUCUUUAUGCCCCUUCCCACUCUGCCCCAAAGUACACAUACCUGCCAUCAAAGACAAUGCUUAGGAGAAGUGGGGAAGCUUUCUUUAAGCUGUUCCAAAUUUGGUGUGUUCUGUGCAAAUGCACAUUAUGUUGUUCUGGGUCUUGGUGAUAUGUCUGCCCCAGUGAACCAUUCUCAGAAGAGAAAGUGUUACAUAGUUGAAUGUAAUAAAUGUUUGGGGAUAUUUUAUAUUUUGUUGCAGACUAUAGAAAGCUACACAAAUUCAUCUCAGUCAAAGAGCUAUGAGUCUGAUUGUUUAAGAAAAAUGAAGUGCUUUUUUGAGGGAAAACUUGAUUUCCCUAAUCUGAUUCAUCUUGUUGAAACUAUAUUCAUAUUCAUUUGACUGUGUUUUUUGUUUCAUUUAAGAGCCAGCUGAACCAAGCCAAAUAGAAGUAUCUCUGGAAGAUAGCACAGAAACAGAAGAAAAGUUUCAGAUAAAGCAAGAUCCAGACCUGAUGUCAUAGACCUCAUCAAUACUGUCAGAAGCUGCCUGUUCUGAGAAGAGCCUGCUCGGCCUGUCUAGAGCUGUGUAAUAUAACUGUAUAAGAGAAGUAUCUUCUAUACAAACCCUUUUGUACUAUUAUAUAGAAAUGUCUACUUUUUCAGCAGUUCUGUGAAUUGACCUAAUAAUGACUGUAGAUUUGGAUUGUAUGAGUUUACUUUGGAAAAUAUUUUAAGGACUAAAUUUGAUGCAGCAAUGCUGGGGAGAUGGCAGGGAUUAAAAUCAACAGGGACAUAGCUCAGGCUGUCUACAUUUUCCAAUAAAGCUGAAUUUCACUGUACCUGAAUGCAUCCUAGCUUUUGUAAUGAAGAAUUCCUGUAAAGAGUUCAGUUUGUUUACUUUGGAGAAAAAAACCCUCUAUGUUAAUUUUCAGCUAUUACUUUAAUGUCUCAUUGGAAAACAGUAUCUGUAUAUUUGAGUUAAUUUUUCCUAUUAUAUCUAUCACAAUUCAUAUGUUUUUCCUAAAUAAAAGACGAAAUGAUCCACUUGA